AUGGGAGUGCAUCACUGGUUCGAUGCCGUCCAGAAGUCCACCGGAGUCGGAGCAGGUAGACCCCCUAUCGUUCCUAUCCCCGGUUCCAACAAUGGACUAGUGCGCGAGCCAUCUGCAGAUUUGGAGGAGAUGCAGGUUAUGCGGCAUUCGACGGUUGAAGAUCCCUCUGAUGUGGUCAUCUCAGGAUUCAACACAGCUCUCCCCGCUGCUAGCAACAGAUUGAACAGUUGUUCCAAGCAUGUGUAUGGUCUUGCAGUGAUAGCUGGAGAAGAUAUCAAUUAUCUGUCAGCCAACAUUUGGAAAGCGUCUGAUGUCAAGAGAGGGGAACAACAGCUCUCUGCAUAUCUUCGUCAUCACGACUGUGGUCGAGAGGGAUACCCACAAGCUGGUGUGGAUGGGAUUAUAAGUUACCAGCUAGGCAUGGCUUCGACGAGCUCCAUAGUUAAUCAGCGGGAUACUGAUUUGAUUGCCCUUGUAGCUUCUGCAUUUGGAGACCCGGGUCAUGAUUCAGGGGAGGGGGGAAAUGGCUAUGGCCUAGUCUUUUGGUCAGUUUGCUGA
rnacentral:rRNA from 1 species